rfam:Dacryopinax sp. DJM-731 SS1 chromosome Tnknown DACRYscaffold_22, whole genome shotgun sequence.
GGCACCUUGGCGCAGUUGGCUAGCGCAUCUGUCUAACACCCUAGUGGCCACAGAAGGUCUUGAGUUCGAGCCUCAAAGGUGUCA